CUUAGAAACCAGUGAUGUUAAUAACCAGAAUGUCUGAACCUGUCUGAAGCAUCCGAGUGAUGCCAUCGAUAUGGUGCUGAGGUUUCCUUGCCA